GAUGAACGCUGGCGGCGUGCCUAAUACAUGCAAGUCGAGCGAACAGACGAGGAGCUUGCUCCUCUGACGUUAGCGGCGGACGGGUGAGUAACACGUGGAUAACCUACCUAUAAGACUGGGAUAACUUCGGGAAACCGGAGCUAAUACCGGAUAAUAUAUUGAACCGCAUGGUUCAAUGGUGAAAGACGGUUUUGCUGUCACUUAUAGAUGGAUCCGCGCCGCAUUAGCUAGUUGGUAAGGUAACGGCUUACCAAGGCAACGAUGCGUAGCCGACCUGAGAGGGUGAUCGGCCACACUGGAACUGAGACACGGUCCAGACUCCUACGGGAGGCAGCAGUAGGGAAUCUUCCGCAAUGGGCGAAAGCCUGACGGAGCAACGCAGCGUGAGUGAUGAAGGUCUUCGGAUCGUAAAACUCUGUUAUUAGGGAAGAACAAAUGUGUAAGUAACUAUGAACGUCUUGACGGUACCUAAUCAGAAAGCCACGGCUAACUACGUG
rnacentral:rRNA from 1 species